GGGGGCCGCUUAACCAUGGCAGGUCGAGGCGCUGUAGCAAUAAGAGCGGCGCACGGGUGAGUACACGUGCCCACUUUGCCCUUUGGUUCGGAAAACUCAGGGAAACUUGAGCUAAUACCGGAUGAGCCCUAACGGGGAAAGAUUUAUCGCCGAAGGAGCGGCCCGCGUCGGAUUAGCUAGUUGGUGGGGUAAUAGCCUACCAAGGCAACGAUCCGUAGCUGGUUUGAGAGAACGACCAGCCACACUGGGACUGAGACACGGCCCAGACUCCUACGGGAGGCAGCAGUGGGGAAUCUUGGACAAUGGGGGAAACCCUGAUCCAGCCAUGCCGCGUGAGUGAUGAAGGCCCUAGGUUUGUAAAACUCUUUCGGUGGGGACGAUAAUGACGGUACCCGCAGAAGAAGCUCCGGCUAACUUCGU
rnacentral:rRNA from 1 species